rnacentral:miRNA from 1 species
UUAUUUCAGUAGACGACGUCACA